CGGCGGUGAUUAAUUUUUCUUUCCAUAACACAUAAAUAUAAUAGAAAAGACGUCAACACAUUUGACAAAAUCCGAUGAGAAUUACAAAUAUAACAUUAAACAUUUAAACUAAAUACAUGAAUUUGGGAUAGACAAGUACCGUAACCCGUCUUAUAGUAAUGCGAAUUCACACUCAGCAAAACAGUCACAAUCGGGAAUAAGUC
rnacentral:lncRNA from 1 species